rnacentral:rRNA from 1 species
AUUAAACGCUGGCGGCAUGCCUUACACAUGCAAGUCGAACGGCAGCACGGGGGCAACCCUGGUGGCGAGUGGCGAACGGGUGAGUAAAGCAUCGGAACGUGCCCUGGAGUGGGGGAUAACGUAGCGAAGUUACGCUAAUACCGCAUAUUCUGUGAGCAGGAAAGCAGGGGAUCGCAAGACCUUGCGCUCUGGGAGCGGCCGAUGUCGGAUUAGCUAGUUGGUGGGGUAAAGGCUUACCAAGGCGACGAUCCGUAGCGGGUCUGAGAGGAUGAUCCGCCACACUGGGACUGAGACACGGCCCAGACUCCUACGGGAGGCAGCAGUGGGGAAUUUUGGGACAAUGGGCGAAAGCCUGAUCCAGCCAUGCCGCGUGAGUGAAGAAGGCC